UAGUCCUUGGAGUUCAUUGAUAUUAUUGAUUUAUUGAUGUUCUUAGUUUUCAAUCAUCAGUUUUAUGUUUUUCCAUGAAGUUUCGAGUUGAGGUUUUGGUGUAAAAAGUUCACUUUUCUUCAAGGUAGUUGGUAUACAAAGAAUUAUUCUUUAUAAUUUUAGUUUCCCUGAGGCUCUCUCUCUGCAAGGCCAGACUCCAAUCAAGAGUCUAUUAAAGUCAAAUACCUACAAAAUAGAAAGCAAUAGUUACUUGUUCUCAAUAUAAAUCUUGUCCCUCUUUGCUGAAUUAAGAGUUCCUUUUAGAUUGGUUUAGGAAAACCAAUUAAAAAAUCCCCCAAUAUUUGCAUUUAAAAAAAGAAAAUACACCAUAAAGAACUAAUGAUUGAUACAUUGUAAGGGUGAUAUACUUUUAAGCACACAGUUUUUCCAAUUAAAACUUGCCAAGAGGAACAAAUUAUCAACUCUUGUUUUGAUACAAUGGGAGAUAUAAUUGUAUACUCAUAUUUUUCAGUCCAAUUUGCAUUUGAUUAAACUUUUCAUUUUGAUUUUCAACACAUAAGAGCUGAUAAGAAAGAUAUAUCCAUGUGAAUAGUAAAUGUUGUAAGAAAUAAAAAAAAAUUGCCUUGGAAGUAGGCUUCCUAGAGUAUGUUGCUCUUUCAAUGGUAAAAAGUAAAUCAGAAGAUGAAAAAUGUUAACUAUGUCCAGAGAGUGUAAAAUAGAGAUGAGCGUGGAAGUAUUUACAUGUGGCCACAACAUGGGACAUGAAAUGAAUGUUUGGUUUAUUUUUCCCACUUCCAUCAUCCAUGGCCUGUGUAGGAACGUGUGAGGAUGUUCUAUAUUAGCAUAUUAUAUCAGGACACUAUAUCAGAAUAGGCAAAGUUGAGGGGAGCCCUACACAAGUGUCAAUCAUUGUCUCCUACUCUAUUCCUAGGUGGGAAGAAACAGAGCCAAUUGUUUUGCUUUGCCAUGAAAAUAAUUAAAUGAAAAGCUUCUUAUUGAAAGAGAGGUAGAAAAGAGUUGAAAAAGAAAGUAGAUAGGAGACAUGUGAGAAAUAUUAGGUCAAUCCACAAAAUUAGGAAUGCACCUAAUAAUCACUUCUGUAACAUAAGAUGAUUCUUGAUACUAUGAGACUGGCCACUUCCCACUUGUAGUCGGCUAUAUGGCAAACCCUAUGAUAAAUCCAGAAUUCUUUUUUUUUUUUUUUUUAUCAAGGGGAGUACUACGAUGGCAAGGUGGUUGAUCUAAUGGUUAGCUUAGAGUAGAUACAGAAGUUAUCUAGGUUCAUGAAGAUGCUAGCCUUCUGCUAGCUUGACAGCAGCUGCCAGUCAAGAUCUCCUAAGCCUCACUCACAUGUCAUAUUACAGAGGAAUCACUGAAUGUCCUGGGCAAUGAAUGAGAGCAAGUGAGAUAGCAGAGACUGAGCUUCUGGGCACCACCUAUGCAUAGCUGAGAUUUGAUGGAAACAUUAGUAGAGAAAGCCAGCGAAGAACCCCAAGACCAGGUGUGGAUCUCCUAUCACCAUGGGCUUGUUUCUUGUUUAUGGAUGAAAAGAAGAGAAAAAAGAAGAGAAGAUGUCUUAUGACACCACCCUUGGUGCUGGAGAUUUAGCAACAAACAAAACGGAUGAAAAUGUCUGUCCUUAUGAAGCCUGUAUUCUAAAAGGAAAUUUGAAAAUAUGUGCUGGAAGACAAUGGUCCGUGAAUAUUUUUACAUUGAUCGUGAUUUACUGAACAAGGAUUACUGAUAACCAAGGUUAAAGGUACUCUUGAAAGACAAACAUGCAUUGGACAUUAGAAACUGUCUAUUUCUCUGGGGCGAUUUAAAAUCUCUUUCCUGAGGGACUUUCUUCAGAUUGCAAAGAGAUGAAGUAAAGGCACAAAUUUUCUUAUUUUUCUAGAGAUGAUUUGUUUAGAUUCCAAAAACAGAGGCCUUUCUUCCUCUCUUCUCUCUCUCAAUCUCACCAGAGCUAGGUGGGCCAGAUGUCUUAUCCUCCCUGUACAAAUUGCUAGAGUUUGGAGGUUUUUUUUCUUGUGGUGCAAUUCUACUGCACAUGCAGGUUAGAGCAGGCCCUGUCCUUUGAAUCAUUCUUUGGGGAACUGGGGUGUGGAGAACUGGUAUUUCGAUGCUAUUCUGACUGGUGCAAUUGCCAUGAAUAAUAAAAGAUUCAAUCUCUCACCUGGAGAUCUGCAGGCAGACUAACAUUUAAGUGGAUAAAAUCUCAGACCUUCACAAUUUCAGGUGCAAUAAUAUGCUCAAUGUGAGUCAUUUGUUCAUUAUUUGUUCUGGAUACCCUCAGUCUAGAAAGCUGUUCUCUUUAGCCUGAGUUACUUCCUUGUAUAGGCUUUUGAUGACUCUCUUUCCUCCAUUUUCUCUGUUCUCUCCUUC